rnacentral:misc_RNA from 1 species
GCAAACUUGGUCAUUUAGAGGAAGUAAAAGUCGUAACAAGGUUUCCGUAGGUGAACCUGCGGAAGGAUCAUUAUUGAAUUCACUAUGCAAAGCUGUUUGCUGGUUCCUUCGGGGGCAUGUGCACGCUUUGCAAAAGUCAUUUCAACCACCUGUGAACCUUUUGUAGUCCUUGGGUGACGCUACUUUUCAAAGGAGACUUUGGAUUUGAAUGCUGCAGGCUUUAAAGGUCGGCUUUAUUCUACAGCAGAGCCCGGGUCUAUACAUUAUACACCCCAUUGUAUGUUUUUGAAUGUAAUUGAAGGGCUUAAAUGCCUUUAAAUCUAUACAACUUUCAGCAACGGAUCUCUUGGCUCUCGCAUCGAUGAAGAACGCAGC